AUCGAACGCUGGCGGCAGGCCUAACACAUGCAAGUCGAACGAGUGGCGGACGGGUGAGUACUGGCUGGGAAACUGCCCGAUGGAGGGGGAUAACGACUGGAAACGGUAGCUAAUACCGCAUACCAUCGGAUGUGCCAAGAUGGGGUUAGCUAGUAGGUGGGGUAACGGCUCACCUAGGCGAGGAUCCCUAGCGGGGCUGAGAGGAUGACCAGCCAAACUGGAACGUAGACACGGUCCAGACGCCUACGGGAGGAAGCAGUGGGGAAUAUUGCACAAUGGGCGAAAGCCUGAUGCAGCCAUGCCGCGUGUAUGAAGAAGGCCUUCGGGUUGUAAAGUACUUUCAGCGAGGAGGCGUUACUCGCAGAAGAAGCACCGGCUAACUCCGUGCCAGCCGCCGCGGUAAUUC
rnacentral:rRNA from 1 species